UACGAAGGGGGCUAGCGUUGCUCGGAAUCACUGGGCGUAAAGCGCACGUAGGCGGCUUUUUAAGUCAGGGGUGAAAUCCUGGAGCUCAACUCCAGAACUGCCUUUGAUACUGAGAAGCUUGAGUCCGGGAGAGGUGAGUGGAACUGCGAGUGUAGAGGUGAAAUUCGCGAGAUAUUCGCAAGAACACCAGUGGCGAAGGCGGCUCACUGGCCCGGUACGUGAC
rnacentral:rRNA from 1 species